rnacentral:rRNA from 1 species
AUGCUUGCUAUAUCUUGUUGCCAUGAUAAAAAUGCACGUAUUUCCUCGAAUUGUUGUGCUAACAAUGUAGAGGAAACCCAACACUCCAUGGAACAAUAUGUGGUCUUGGAUGGUGCUUCAAGGGAUCCUACAUCAUCAUCUAUUGCAUUUUGCCUUAUGGCCAAGGCUUCAAAGGUAUCUCCGACUUUGAAUCCCAAUAUAUCUUGUGAUGAUAUUGAUGAUGGCAAGAGUGAUGAUGAUGUUGAUUAUGAUGAAGAGAAUGAUGAUGUUGCCUCCUUAAAAAUUAAGGGGGAAAUGAUUUUUAAAGCUCUUCUUAAGCAAUGUUCAAGAAAGCGUUUUUAG